GAUGAACGCUGGCGGCGUGCCUAAUACAUGCAAGUCGAGCGAACGGACGAGAAGCUUGCUUCUCUGAUGUUAGCGGCGGACGGGUGAGUAACACGUGGAUAACCUACCUAUAAGACUGGGAUAACUUCGGGAAACCGGAGCUAAUACCGGAUAAUAUUUUGAACCGCAUGGUUCAAAAGUGAAAGACGGUCUUGCUGUCACUUAUAGAUGGAUCCGCGCUGCAUUAGCUAGUUGGUAAGGUAACGGCUUACCAAGGCAACGAUGCAUAGCCGACCUGAGAGGGUGAUCGGCAAAACGGGACCUGAGACACGGUCCAGACUCCUACGGGAGGCAGCAGUAGGGAAUCUUCCGCAAGGGGCGAAAGCCUGACGGAGCAACGCCGCGUGAGUGAUGAAGGUCUUCGGAUCGUAAAACUCUGUUAUUAGGGAAGAACAUAUGUGUAAGUAACUGUGCACAUCUUGACGGUACCUAAUCAGAAAGCCACGGCGAACUACGU
rnacentral:rRNA from 1 species